ensembl:lncRNA
UACAAGCUCUGUAUAACAUGGUUAAAAAUAUACUUUUGAUAUCAUGGAUGGUCAUUCCUUGCAUCCAUAGCUCUGUCUAUGAAUUUGAGAGUGGUUAAUUUCUUUAGCCCCAUCCCUCAGCUUUUUACCAAAACAGCGGCAGGGUGAAGCUUUGUUACUGUUUGAACUGCAGAUUUCCCCUUUAACAUUACUGAAGUGGAAUAAAGAUUUUCUAAACAAUAUUUAUCUGAAAGUAUCUACAGUAUGUUGUAUGAACAGCUGAAUGUCUGUAGCAUUUUCAUUUUCCAAUUUUGAGUUGCUUUGUGCUGCUUUCAGACGAUUGAUGAAUGUCAUGAGCCAACUGAGGAGCCAAGAUCUACUGGUGACCUUCAGCAACAGGAGCAGAGAAACCUCAGCCCCCUCAACCACCAGGAACUUGUGGACCAAGGCCAGGGAGGAGUUGCCAAGGGUGAUGGAGGAUUAGAGAGAGCCUGGAGGUCCAGGGGAGAACCAUGGAGGAAAGGGUAGAUGGAGUUGGUCAACAUGGUCCAGGUGAUGAUUGAGCACUGCAGGGAGAUGAAGGAGAAUAUGGUGGAGCUGUGGGCAACAAUGGAGCAGUAGAGAGUGGAGAAGUGCUCCCAACAGCUCACUGUAAGUUCAUGGUUGGGGGUGUGGAGUAUGUGGACUGUGGUGAGCAUGUCUCUGCCAUUGCUGUAAUGUAAUGUCCUUUAUCAGUAUGUUUCCGUUGAAUUCCUAAUCCUUCAGUGUUCAAAGUGUUUGUAUUAUAAUGGACAACAACGUGUCUCUCCAAUCAUGUAGAACCUCAACAAAGUCCCUGCUGAGCCUCACAGAAAGACAGAAGUUAGGCUCACCUCUUCUGGGCCUCCUUUGUCAUCAAGGACUCUGUUUUGUCAUUUAUAUUAAAACAGUAUAGUAGUAGGCUAUGUAUUUAUUGUCCUGCAUGUCCGUUACGAACAUCCAAGGUGGGACUGUAGCCUAUAUUUCCCCCUUUCCAGAAUAGGCCAACUAAUCUACCAGCUCAUGUUUGUUGCCUAUGUUUUAAACCUAGUUCUUACUUGAUUCAUUAUGAGCCUUGCCUUAUUUGACAGCAUUGUUUGGAAGGAUUUAAUUGUUAGUGGGGAAAACAGGGCAGUGGGCCUUGAGAUAUGCAGUUGUUGAUAUGUGAGUGGACACCUCCAACAACUGUUUUGCAGAGCCAUAUAGUUUGAGAUUUUUUAAACCAAAAGCAUUAUGAUGCAGCCAUUAUGAUGCAUUUUCAUGACAUCACGUAAUGGCGUGGAAGCAGAUACAAUUAUUAAUUAUUAAUUCAAAAAAGAUAUAUCACGGAGAUAUUGUCAGCCCGUGUGAGCCCAACGGUCAACAUUUGGGGGUCUGGCUCAUGGACUAAUUUGACAGUUUCUAAAUUGGCCUACAGAUGGGUGCAUCAUAUGCAUUGUGACAGCACAUAUCCCAGGGAAACCGGACACUCCCAAACACACAACAAAUAGAAAAUUAACAAAAAUGCAAAACACAACAAAAUAUACAGGUACAGUAACUGCCAAAAUAAAGGAAACACUUGAGUAAAUGAGGGAUACAAAGUAUAUUGAAAUCAGGUGCUUCUACAAAGGUGUUGGUCCUGAGUUAAUUAAGCAAUUAACGUCCCAUGCUUAGGGUCAUGUAUAAAAAUGUCCAACGUCCUAUUAUUUUGGCUACCAUGGCUGGAAGAAGAGAUCUCAGUGACUUUGAAAGAGGGGUCUCAAAGGAGCUUAGGGGGCUUAUACACUUAUGGGAGAUUCUAAAGCAGUGCCUGAGACAGCGUUUUACACCACCUGUCACGUUCUGACCUUUAUUUCCUUUGUUUUGUCAUUAUUUAGUAUGGUCAGGGUGUGAGUUGGGUGGGCAGUCUAUGUUUGUUUUUCUAUGAUUUGGGUAUUUCUAUGUUUCGGCCUAGUAUGGUUCUCAAUCAGAGGCAGGUGCCAUUAGUUGUCUCUGAUUGAGAAUCAUACUUAGGUAGCCUGGGUGUCACUGUGUGUUUGUGGGUGAUUGUUCCUGUCUCUGUGUUUGCACCAGAUAGGACUGUUUAGGUUUUCACACGUUUCUUGUUUUUGUAGUCAGUUGUUCAUGUGCAC